AUUGAACGCUGGCGGCAGGCCUAACACAUGCAAGUCGAACGGUAACAGGAAGAAGCUUGCUUCUUUGCUGACGAGUGGCGGACGGGUGAGUAAUGUCUGGGAAACUGCCUGAUGGAGGGGGAUAACUACUGGAAACGGUAGCUAAUACCGCAUAACGUCGCAAGACCAAAGAGGGGGACCUUCGGGCCUCUUGCCAUCGGAUGUGCCCAGAUGGGAUUAGCUAGUAGGUGGGGUAACGGCUCACCUAGGCGACGAUCCCUAGCUGGUCUGAGAGGAUGACCAGCCACACUGGAACUGAGACACGGUCCAGACUCCUACGGGAGGCAGCAGUGGGGAAUAUUGCACAAUGGGCGGAAGCCUGAUGCAGCCAUGCCGCGUGUAUGAAGAAGGCCUUCGGGUUGUAAAGUACUUUCAGCGGGGAGGAAGGGAGUAAAGUUAAUACCUUGGCUCAUUGACGUUACCCGCAGAAGAAGCACCGGCUAACUCCGUG
rnacentral:rRNA from 1 species